GGGGCUGUGGCGCAGUGGUAGCGCGUUCGCUUUGCAUUCUCAUCUCUUGAGCAUCCAAAGCUGCGAAAGGUCUAGGGUUCGAUCCCCUACUGCUCCA